rnacentral:rRNA from 1 species
GAUUUUGCCUUCGGGUACAAUUGAGACAGGUGGUGCGAUGGUUGUCGUCAGCUCGUGUCGUGAGAUGUUGGGUUAAGUCCCGCAACGAGCGCAACCCUUGUGUUUAGUUGCAAACAGGUCAAGCUGUGCACUCUAGACAGACUGCCGUGGACAACACGGAGGAAGGUGGGGAUGACGUCAAAUCAUCAUGCCCCUUAUGAUCUGGGCUACACACGUGCUACAAUGGCCGGUACAACGGGCAGCGAAGGAGCGAUCCGGAGCGAAUCCUAAAAAGCCGGUCCCAGUUCGGAUUGCAGGCUGAAACUCGCCUACAUGAAGUUGGAGUUGCUAGUAAUCGCGAAUCAGAAUGUCGCGGUGAAUGCGUUCCCGGGUCUU